GCCCGGAUGGCCCAAUGGUAAGGCGCCAGCCUUGAGAGCUGGUUUCCGCAAGGAUAUCCAGGUUCGAAUCCUGGUCCGGGCG
rnacentral:tRNA from 1 species